rnacentral:rRNA from 1 species
GACGAACGCUGGCGGCGUGCUUAACACAUGCAAGUCGAACGGAAAGGCCCUGCUUUUGUGGGGUGCUCGAGUGGCGAACGGGUGAGUAACACGUGAGUAACCUGCCCUUGACUUUGGGAUAACUUCAGGAAACUGGGGCUAAUACCGGAUAGGAGCUCCUGCCGCAUGGUGGGGGUUGGAAAGUUUCGGCGGUUGGGGAUGGACUCGCGGCUUAUCAGCUUGUUGGUGGGGUAGUGGCUUACCAAGGCUUUGACGGGUAGCCGGCCUGAGAGGGUGACCGGCCACAUUGGGACUGAGAUACGGCCCAGACUCCUACGGGAGGCAGCAGUGGGGAAUAUUGCACAAUGGGCGGAAGCCUGAUGCAGCAACGCCGCGUGCGGGAUGACGGCCUUCGGGUUGUAAACCGCUUUCGCCUGUGACGAAGCGUGAGUGACGGUAAUGGGUAAAGAAGCACCGGCUAACCACGUG